GGUCCUGUGGCGCAAUAGAUAAGGCAUGAGUCUUUGGAACUUAAGAUUCUAGGUUUGAUUCCUGGCAGGUUCA